AUGCACGCUGGCGGCGUGCCUCAUACAUGCAAGUCGAGCGAACAGAUGAGGAGCUUGCUCCUCUGACGUUAGCGGCGGACGGGUGAGUAACACGUGGAUAACCUACCUAUAAGACUGGGAUAACUUCGGGAAACCGGAGCUAAUACCGGAUAAUAUAUUGAACCGCAUGGUUCAAUAGUGAAAGACGGUUUUGCUGUCACUUAUAGAUGGAUCCGCGCCGCAUUAGCUAGUUGGUAAGGUAACGGCUUACCAAGGCAACGAUGCGUAGCCGACCUGAGAGGGUGAUCGGCCACACUGGAACUGAGACACGGUCCAGACUCCUACGGGAGGCAGCAGUAGGGAAUCUUCCGCAAUGGGCGAAAGCCUGACGGAGCAACGCCGCGUGAGUGAUGAAGGUCUUCGGAUCGUAAAACUCUGUUAUUAGGGAAGAACAAAUGUGUAAGUAACUAUGCACGUCCUGACGGUACCUAAUCAGAAAGCCACGGCUAACUACGUG
rnacentral:rRNA from 1 species